rnacentral:rRNA from 1 species
UGAGGAAUAUUGGUCAAUGGGCGCAAGCCUGAACCAGCCAUCCCGCGUGCAGGAUGACGGCCCUAUGGGUUGUAAACUGCUUUUAUACAGGAAGAAAAAUCUCCACGUGUGGGGACUUGCCGGUACUGUAUGAAUAAGCAUCGGCUAACUCCGUGCCAGCAGCCGCGGUAAUACGGAGGAUGCAAGCGUUAUCCGGAUUCAUUGGGUUUAAAGGGUGCGUAGGCGGCUCUUUAAGUCAGUGGUGAAAUCCUGUCGCUCAACGAUAGAAUUGCCAUUGAUACUGAAGAGCUUGAGUUCAGUUGAGGUAAGCGGAAUGUGUAGUGUAGCGGUGAAAUGCUUAGAUAUUACACAGAACACCGAUUGCGAAGGCAGCUUACUAAACUGACACUGACGCUGAUGCACGAAAGCGUGGGGAUCGAACA